UGGGGGCGUGCUAAUACAUGCAGUCGAGCGGACCGACGGGAGCUUGCUCCCUUAGGUCAGCGGCGGACGGGUGAGUAACACGUGGGUAACCUGCCUGUAAGACUGGGAUAACUCCGGGAAACCGGGGCUAAUACCGGAUGCUUGAUUGAACCGCAUGGUUCAAUCAUAAAAGGUGGCUUUUAGCUACCACUUGCAGAUGGACCCGCGGCGCAUUAGCUAGUUGGUGAGGUAACGGCUCACCAAGGCGACGAUGCGUAGCCGACCUGAGAGGGUGAUCGGCCACACUGGGACUGAGACACGGCCCAGACUCCUACGGGAGGCAGCAGUAGGGAAUCUUCCGCAAUGGACGAAAGUCUGACGGAGCAACGCCGCGUGAGUGAUGAAGGUUUUCGGAUCGUAAAACUCUGUUGUUAGGGAAGAACAAGUACCGUUCGAAUAGGGCGGUACCUUGACGGUACCUAACCAGAAAGCCACGGCUAACUACGUGCCAGCAGCCGCGGUAAUACGUAGGUG
rnacentral:rRNA from 1 species